UUGAAAAUACUGUAUAGAUCAGUUAUGGGUGCCUUUUAUCAGGGAAAAAUGAUCCAGGCAUCUUCACUCGAUGCUUUUAUUCAACUUCUAUCGCAAAAACCGAAAUGCCGUUUCAAAAAUAGAGAGGUAUUCGUUAAGAAACCCAAGUCGUUCAGGAGACGAGAAAUUCAGUUUAUUAUUUUCUACAAUUUAUUGCUAUUUAAAGUUGUUAUGUUUUAUGUAGGAGUCGAACAUUUUAGUGGCUAUUAUAUGCCGCUUCUUCUCUUUGCCACGAUGAAUGAUAGCUAAUCUUCUACUAAACAGGCGUCGGAUGGAUUGAAGAAGGCAGACAAGAGUGAGCCGUUGUCUAAUAUUGGCCGGAGAAGAUACACUCGAUACGAACGCAUUCGACCAAAUCGGACGGGUGGCGAAUUAAGAGCCGGGACCGAUGACUUAACUUGUCCAUCCGAAACACGGUAGUGUCCCGAGAGAAAUAUCUUGCUCGGACUGCGAUUCGAACCCGGGCCUCUGGAUUAUGAAGCCAGCUUAUAAUCCAAUCGACUAACUAAACUGAUUUUAAUCUA